CCUACGGGAGGCUGCAGUGAGGAAUAUUGGUCAAUGGACGAGAGUCUGAACCAGCCAAGUAGCGUGAAGGAUGACUGCCCUAUGGGUUGUAAACUUCUUUUAUAUGGGAAUAAUAUGUUCCACGUGUGGGAUUUUGUAUGUACCAUAUGAAUAAGGAUCGGCUAACUCCGUGCCAGCAGCCGCGGUAAUACGGAGGAUCCGAGCGUUAUCCGGAUUUAUUGGGUUUAAAGGGAGCGUCGGUGGAUUGUUAAGUCAGUUGUGAAAGUUUGCGGCUCAACCGUAGAAUUGCAGUUGAAACUGGCAGUCUUGAGUACAGUAGAGGUGGGCGGAAUUCGUGGUGUAGCGGUGAAAUGCUUAGAUAUCACGAAGAACUCCGAUUGCGAAGGCAGUUCACUGGACUGCAACUGACACUGAGGCUCGAAAGUGUGGGUAUCAAACAGGAUUAGAUACCCCUGUAGUC
rnacentral:rRNA from 1 species